rnacentral:misc_RNA from 1 species
GAUGAAGAACGUAGCGAAAUGCGAUAAGUAAUGUGAAUUGCAGAAUUCAGUGAAUCAUCGAGUCUUUGAACGCACAUUGCGCCCCCUGGUAUUCCGGGGGGCAUGCCUGUCCGAGCGUCAUUGCCGCCCUCAAGCACGGCUUGUGUGUUGGGCCCCCGCCCCCCGGCUUCGGGGGGCGGGCCCGAAAGGCAGCGGCGGCACCGCGUCCGGUCCUCGAGCGUAUGGGGCUUCGUCACCCGCUCUGUAGGCCCGGCCGGCGCCCGUCGGCGACCCCAAUCAAUCUUUCCAGGUUGACCUCGGAUCAGGUAGGGAUACCCGCUGAACUUAAGCAUAUCAAUAAGCGGAGGA